GAUGAAGAACGCAGCGAAAUGCGAUAAGUAAUGUGAAUUGCAGAAUUCAGUGAAUCAUCGAAUCUUUGAACGCACAUUGCGCCCCUUGGUAUUCCGAGGGGCAUGCCUGCUCGAGCGUCAUUAUAACCCCUCAAGCUCAGCUUGGUGUUGGGGCCUGCUGCACUGGCAGCCCUUAAAAUCAGUGGCGGCGCCAUCUGGCUCUAAGCGUAGUAAUUCUUCUCGCUAUGGAGUCCUGGUGGAUGCUUGCCAUCAACCCCCAAUUUUUCUAUGGUUGACCUCGGAUCAGGUAGGGAUACCCGCUGAACUUAAGCAUAUCAAUAGCGGAGGA
rnacentral:misc_RNA from 1 species